UACGGAGGGGACUAGCGUUGUUCGGAAUUACUGGGCGUAAAGCGCGCGUAGGCGGAUUUGCAAGUCGGGGGUGAAAGCCCGAGGCUCAACCUCGGAACUGCCCUCGAUACUGCAAAUCUCGAGUCCGAGAGAGGUGAGUGGAAUUCCUAGUGUAGAGGUGAAAUUCGUAGAUAUUAGGAAGAACACCAGUGGCGAAGGCGGCUCACUGGCUCGGUACUGACGCUGAGGCGCGAAAGCCAGGGGAGCAAACGGG
rnacentral:rRNA from 1 species